CCUAAAUCCAAAGAGGACUGUUUCAUUUAUGUGAGGUGCAGCAGCCGUCAUCUCUGUGGUCUGCGAGUUUGGGGCACGUCGUCGCCGUCAAUUCUGCGGCUUUGCUGGCUGUUUCGGUUCAAUGGAAAACUCAUGAUGGCCUCUUUGACUUUCACUGGCACAGCUCUUAUCCUCAUGGUGACUGCCGACACUCCAAAGGGUAGAAACAAGCCGAGGUAUCUUAUGAAGACACCUGAGGAAUCACAAACACCUGGGACACCAAGGGUCCCAGACAUUACGGUGCCCUGACAUGUGGGGCUGUGUAGGAAACGUGUUGUGCAACCAAAACAUCCGCAAAUGCCCUUAAAUGAAAGUCUGCUGUGUAAACUUUAA